rnacentral:lncRNA from 1 species
AAAAAUAGCAAUACUAGCUGUAUGGCUGUACAUUUCUUAGAUUAAAGAUAAAAUUUACACCUCAUCUAUCCAAAGAUCUAAAUUCAUUUUCUGGUCUUUAAACUAAGGGCGUGUUUGGUUCGCUAAAUAUUAACCCCGGAAUCGGAAUCGGAAUGAUCCAUUCCAAUUCUAGAUGUUUGGUACGCCGUAAUCUCAUUCCGAUUCCGUUUCCAUUUCGGAAUGGGAAUGGGCUAAUUCGGGUAGAAACGAAUCCGGCCUCGUACUCCGGAUUGAAAAUUGAAUUCCGACUUAAUUAUCUUAUACUAAAAUAACCUUCAUC